GAUGAAGAACGCAGUGAAAUGCGAUAAGUAGUGUGAAUUGCAGAAUUCAGUGAAUCAUCGAAUCUUUGAACGCACAUUGCGCCCGCCAGCAUUCUGGCGGGCAUACCUGUUCGAGCGUCAUUUCAACCCUCGAGCCCCCCCGGGGGCCUCGGUGUUGGGGGACGGCACACCAGCCGCCCCCGAAAUGCAGUGGCGACCCCGCCGCAGCCUCCCCUGCGUAGUAGCACACACCUCGCACCGGAGCGCGGAGGCGGUCACGCCGUAAAACGCCCAACUUUCUUAGAGUUGACCUCGGAUCAGGUAGGAAUACCCGCUGAACUUAAGCAUAUCAAUAAGCGGAGGA
rnacentral:misc_RNA from 1 species